GACGAACGCUGGCGGCGUGCUUAACACAUGCAAGUCGAACGAGAGCGUAGAGAUAGCUUGCUUUUUCUACAAUCUAGUGGCAAACGGGUGAGUAACGCGUAAACAACCUGCCCUACGGAAGGGGACAACAGCUGGAAACGGCUGCUAAUACCGAAUACGUUCCGAAAGUCGCAUGACUAUCGGAAGAAAGGAUGGCCUCUAUUUAUAAGCUAUCGCCGGAGGAGGGGUUUGCGUCUGAUUAGCGAGUUGGAGGGGUAACGGCCCACCAAGGCGACGAUGAGUAGCCAGUCGUCGAGGGUGAGCGGGCCUGUUGGGGCGGACGCCCGGUCCGGACUCCUGCGGGGGGCAGCAGUGGGGCAUCUGGCAGAAUGGGGGAAAGCCUGACGGAGGGAGGCCGCCUGAGUGAAGGCGGCCGUCGGGUUGUUAAGCUCCUUUAUACGGGACGCACAAUCUUGUGGUGAAUACCCACUAGAAGUGACGGUACCGUAAGAGAAAGCCACGGCUAACUACGUG
rnacentral:rRNA from 1 species